AAAAAAAAAACAAUGGCUUUAGGAAAAUAUACUAGGAUAGACACUAGAAGGCAAUCAACAAAUUACUGCUCAACGGUGACGAUUGUGGUCUUUGUGGCUCUCUGCUUGGUUGGGGUAUGGAUGAUGACAUCUUCAUCUGUAGUUCCUGGUCAAAAUGUGGAUGUGCCUGCUCAGGAGAACAAGAAUGAGAUCAAGGAACCACUGGCUGAGAGCAACGAAAGCAACCCUAAGCAAUUUGAGGAUAGCCCUGGUGAUUUACCUGAGGAUGCAACUAAAGGGGACAACAAUAGAAGUCAACCUCAGGGAGAAGACAAGUCUAAUACGCAAGAAACUCAAGAGGUGAAGGUGGAAGAGAAGCAAGAAGAGAAAUCUGAGGAAAAGCAAGAUGAAGUAAUUAAGUCUAAUGAUGGCUCAAAUAAUGAGAAGCAAAAUGAAGAAAGUAAUACAGAAAAUGGGGAUUCUAAGACGCUAGAUGGGGAAAAAAACUCAGAAGCUGGAGAGACAAAAACUAAUGAGGGUGAAAAUAGUGGCACUGGACAAGGUGAUUCUGAGGAGAACUCAAAAGAGAACAAAUCUGAAUCAGACGAGACUGAAAAGAAUCCAGGCACUGAUGAGACUGAGACAAAAUCGGAUGAGAACUCUGGUGUAACAGAGAAGAAAUCUGAUGCAGAUGACACCAAGACAAAGUCAGAUGAGAAUUCUGGUGAUACGAAGGAUGGGAAAACAGGGAAUGGGCAGAUAGAAGAGAAGGUGGAUCUAAAAAAUAACAAGGAGUCAGAGAAAACCUCUGAUGAGCAGGCCAACAACCAGAGUGGAGUUGAGGUAUUUCCUUCAGGGGCUCAGUCAGAGCUUUUGAAUGAAACUGCCACUCAGACUGGGUCAUGGUCAACUCAGGCAUCAGAGUCAAGAAAUGAGAAAGAAACUCAAUUAGCUUCUAAUCAACAAAACUCGUACAAUUGGAAAACUUGCAAUGUCACUGCUGGGCCUGAUUACAUCCCAUGUCUUGACAAUUGGCAAGCAAUUAGGAGUCUUCGAAGUACCAAGCACUAUGAACAUCGAGAAAGGCACUGUCCUCAAGAACCUCCAACUUGUCUUGUUCCACUUCCUGAAGGAUAUAAACGCCCAAUUGAGUGGCCCAAAAGCAGGGAAAAGAUAUGGUACAGUAAUGUUCCGCACACCAAACUUGCAGAAGUUAAAGGGCAUCAAAACUGGGUGAAAGUUACUGGCGAAUACCUCACUUUCCCUGGUGGUGGAACUCAGUUUAAGCAUGG
rnacentral:misc_RNA from 1 species